UACGGAGGGUGCAAGCGUUAUCCGGAUUCACUGGGUUUAAAGGGUGCGUAGGAGGGCAGGUAAGUCAGUGGUGAAAUCUCCGAGCUUAACUCGGAAACUGCCGUUGAUACUAUCUGUCUUGAAUCCCGUGGAGAUGAGCGGAAUAUGUCAUGUAGCGGUGAAAUGCUUAGAUAUGGCAUAGAACACCAAUUGCGAAGGCAGCUCGUUACACGAAGAUUGACGCUGAGGCACGAAAGCGUGGGGAUCAAACAGG
rnacentral:rRNA from 1 species